rnacentral:rRNA from 1 species
GAUGAACGCUGGCGGCGUGCUUAAUACAUGCAAGUCGAACGGAAAGACCAGGCGCUUGUUGGUCGCUCGUGUGGCGAACGGGUGAGUAAAACGCGUGUAACCUGUCCCUGUCAUUGGGGUAACACCUGGAAACUCGGGCUAAUAUCGGAUAGUAUCUCUUGCAGCACGGUGGGGGAUGGAGAGAUUCGGCGGUAGUGGAUGGAUUGGAUGGUUAUGCGCCGCUUUGUGGGGUAGUGGCUUACCAAGGCUUUGACGGGUAGCCGGCCUGAGAGGGUGGCCGGCCACAUUGCGACUGAGAGACGGCCCAGAAGGCUACGGGCGGCAACAGUGGAGAGUUUUGCGCAGUGAGCGGACGUGUGAGGCAGCGACGUCGGGUGCGUAAUGACGGCCUUUGAGUUGUAAACAAAUUUCGCAGGUGACGUGGAGUGAGUGACGGUAACGGGUAAGAAAGCACCGGCUAACUACGUG